rnacentral:lncRNA from 1 species
CCUAGGACCCCCCACCCCCAAGAGGAAGGGGCCUCAAGGACAUUAAAAGCCAGCCUCUUGUCCCAGUGUCCCCAGCUGGGCCACGCACUGUUCCCUGGACAUGUCACCCCAUUACAGCUGGACCACAAGUGCCAAGUUGCCUCCUCUAGGAAGCCCGCCUGGAUCCGGUGCCUGUCAGCUGGGCUCCCACAGCACCCAGCCUGUCCCUCCUGUGUGACUUGUCCCCUCCUGCCACCAUGGCAGAUGCCUGUGCUCUUCCUGCCUCCCUGUGGGCUCGUCAGGGCAGGGCGGGUCAUGCUUUCCGGUCGGGGCUGUGCUCCCUGGGCUCUGCCCAGCUUGGGAGCUCAGGCCGCCGGCUCGCUCUCCCAGCCUCGGGCGCCCUCUGCUGGCCCCUGGGCUGGCCACUGCUCCGGAGAGCCAGAAACUUCUGGGCCCAUCCCUUCCUUGGAGUUCCUUCCUCCCUCCUUUCCUGAAACCCUUCGCUGUGCCUUCCGGUUCCUGGCUCAUCGUCAGCAAGCCCCUUGUCCUCCCACACCUCCCGGAACAUUCCUUGCCCUUCUUGCUCUGCCUGAAGGCUCCUGUCCCCCAAGGACACUGCCUCCGGGCUGUCCUCUCCCACGGCCCUUUGCCUGGGGCCUACGGCGGGGGGGGGGGGGGGGGGCCCUCGCUGCUCCAGGUCACCGUCCUCUGUCCUCCGCGUCUGCUUAGCGCUGAAGUCUUAGCUCCUGGCUGGCGGUCACUUUCCCUGCUGAGGGGACUCCAGCAGGCAUGUUGGUGGCCCUCGGGAGGCUCUGGGCUCAGCUCCUCCACUUUCUCUCAGCUCUGCUUUCUCUCAGCCCACUCCCACCGUUGUGCUCCUGACCCCGUUGCUGCCUGCAGCUGCACCUCCUCCAGAGCCUCAGCUUCAGACGCCCACGUUCUGAUGGCCACUGUGCCUCUCCCAGCCCACUGCCACCUCCCACAUUCCCACCGGCACCCGCCACACCUGCCACACCCGCCACCGGCUGAUGCUGCCAACUUCUUGCUGCUUGCCCUGGCUCACCUGCUCCCACGGGGCACCUCUCCACAGCUGGGACUGCCCGGUCCAGUCCUGCGUCCACCCCCUGCUCACGCCCUCCGCUCCCUUGCCCCACUGUUUAUUGCGCUCACUGAGCGAAAGCCCAGCC